rnacentral:rRNA from 1 species
AGGAGAUACACCUGUUCCCAUGCCGAACACAGCAGUUAAGCCCUAGAACGCCUGAAGUAGUUGGGGGUUGCCCCCUGUUAGAUAUGGUAGUCGCUUAGC